rnacentral:pre_miRNA from 1 species
UUAAUUUUGAAGACUUCAACUUGCAGACUUGAAGAAUUUGAAGACUUUAGCUCGCAAACUUGAUUGAUUUAAAGACCUCAACU